rnacentral:rRNA from 1 species
UACGGGGGGGGGCAAGCGUUGUUCGGAAUUACUGGGCGUAAAGGGCUCGUAGGCGGCCAACUAAGUCGGAUGUGAAAUCCCCAGGCUUAACCUGGGAACUGCAUCCGAUACUGGAUGGCUUGAAUUCGGGAGAGGGAUGCAGAAUUCCAGGUGUAGCGGUGAAAUGCGUAGAUAUCUGGAGGAAUACCGGUGGCGAAGGCGGCAUCCUGGACCGAGAUUGACGCUGAUGAGCGAAAAGCUAGGGGAGCAAACGGG